rnacentral:rRNA from 1 species
CCUACGGGGAGCAGCAGUGAGGAAUAUUGGUCAAUGGACGAGAGUCUGAACCAGCCAAGUAGCGUGAAGGAUGACUGCCCUAUGGGUUGUAAACUUCUUUUAUAUGGGAAUAAAACGUUCCACGUGUGGGAUUUUGUAUGUACCAUCUGAAUAAGGAUCGGCUAACUCCGUGCCAGCAGCCGCGGUAAUACGGAGGAUCCGAGCGUUAGCCGGAUUUAUUGGGUUUAAAGGGAGCGUAGGUGGAUUGUUAAGUCAGUUGUGAAAGUUUGCGGCUCAACCGUAAAAUUGCAGUUGAAACUGGCAGUCUUGAGUACAGUAGAGGUGGGCGGAAUUCGUGGUGUAGCGGUGAAAUGCUUAGAUAUCACGAAGAACUCCGAUUGCGAAGGCAGUUCACUGGACUGCAACUGACACUGAGGCUCGAAAGUGUGGGUAUCAAACAGGAUUAGAUACCCCAGUAGUC